AUUAUGUCUGUCCUAAUACCAGGAAAUAAAAAAAUGGAUUUUCUGGCUUCGCUUUCAGACUAAAUUAAUUCUUCAAUUCUAUCCUAGUGUGAUUUGUUGUGAAUCAAUUUUGCACUGGCAAUUUGAAGAUACAAUA